rnacentral:lncRNA from 1 species
CUCAUGACCUUCCACGUACGAGGGUCCCGCCCGCAUGAACUUCCGCGUACGAGGGUCCCGCCCUCAUGACCUUCCGCGUACGAGGGUCCCGCCCUCAUGAACUUCCGCGUACGAGGGUUCCCGCCCUCAUGGCCUUCCGCGUACCAGGGUCCCGCCCUCAUGGCCUUCCGCGUACGAGGGUCAGGCCCUCAUGACCUUCCGCGUACGAGGGUUACGCCCUCAUGACCUUCCGCGUACGAGGGUUACGCCCUCAUGACCUUCCGCGUACGAGGGUUACGCCCUCAUGACCUUCCGCGUACGAGGGUUCUGCCCUCAUGACCUUUUCACCUUCCGGAGGUCCUGCCUCCUAGCCCCAUCACCUUGCGGGUGAGGAUUUCAACAGAUGAAUAUGGCGGUGGGGGGGUGUAAACAUUCCGAUCGCAGCAGCCACCCACGUAUCACCUUGGUCUGGGGUGUAGCAGGCAUUGCCAGGGCUCAGCCAAAGCCGGGCUCCAGCUGCUCGUGGAGAUAACAAAGGCUUCUGUGGCCUCAUCUACUUCAUUGUGACGAGGUCGAGGCUGUAAGGGGCCAAGUGGAUGAUUUAGCUCAACAGCUAAAUGAUGUUCUGGGAGAAAGGGACUGAGGCUGCCGUGGACAGUGGUCAUCUCGGGCUUCGAAGUAUCUAUUCCAGCUUCCUAAGGGCUCACCCUUGUCCUGGGGUGAAAUGAUCCUCCCACCACGCCCACAGCCCACGGUGGAGGGGUCAUUCCUGGCACCUCCUCCCGCAAUUGGAUUACAAGGGUUCCCAGGCCGAGUCCACUCCGCGGCUGCGUGAGAGGUGGGAUGCGGGCAGAGCUCAGCCGCCCGCACCCGCUCUCCCAGGGCCCUUAGUGUUGAGCAGCAGUGGGAGAACCGUAAGGCUGGCUGGAGACGUCAAUGUGAAGUCAACGUCUAAUGGACCCGAGUUCAGCCAAGAACACACACCAGUUGUUCCAGGGAAGAAUCUCAUGGUGAAGCACUAGUGAGCGUCCAAGCAACUCCCAGCCUAACCUCACCGGUCUGACUGUGGGGCUGCUUCUGCCACGGCUCCUGGCUGGCGAUGGGGCUGUCAGCGUGUCAGCCAACCAUGCAUUGCAGAUGCACUUUGAAGAAAAUUAAUGUACCUGGGUACUUAUGGGACUCCCUGAAUGAGUGGGUAUAAUUGAAAUAGCCGGGACAUCAAAAAGCUGGAACACUGGGAGCCUGGCCCUAGGGUGGCGGAGGCCACAACGGAGCCCCCAGCCGGUUGGAAAGAGGCUUCCUAUGCUCUCCUUUCCAUGCCACUGCGGAAGUGCUAGGGAACAGGAAGACCAGGGCAUUGCCAAGUGAAUAAUAACAACCAUGUGUGCGGCGUUCACGAUACCCCAGGCUCAGUGAGCCUUUUACUCAGGGUCUCAUGUGAUGCUGAAAACAAUCCCAUGAAGUUUAGAAGCCUGUGCACACGAAGAGACGUGGUGUUUCCCUAUUGAUCCAAACUGCAUGCUGACCUGUUCCUGCCAGGGCUGCGCUCCUCCUGCUUUGCCCUGGCUCUCCCGUUCUGCACUCCCUCUUCUACCGGGAAUUCCUGGAAGCACCUUUUAUUCACAGUGCCUGCUUUGAAUAGAUACAAAUACAAUUUGUAUCUUAUGUAGUCCAUUCCACACAAUUGAAAAUAUAAUGUAAUAAAAAUCAGAAAAGUAAAUCCAGGAAAGUCUCUAACACAUAUUAGGGCCUCAAUAAAUGGACCCUAAGAGGGUGGGGAAAUGGCUUUGGUUUUUAACUGUGCUUCUUUUGAGCUUGAUGCUGUUAACUUAGUACAAUCUAUCAAUAAAUAUCGUCAUCAAGAAAAUAUUAAAGGUGUACCUGAGUCACAGGGGAGGAGGUGCAGGGCUUCUGAGAAAAUGUCCUUCAGUCACCAGCCGGUGAACAAUGGGACUCGUUAUUGUCCCCUCACCCUGCAUACCACCAGGGGGCACUGAUGAGCUGAGAAAGACUCUGUGGUCCAAAAAC